rnacentral:rRNA from 1 species
UACAGAGGGUGCAAGCGUUAAUCGGAUUUACUGGGCGUAAAGGGCGCGUAGGCGGUUGAGUGAGUGUGAUGUGAAAGCCCCGGGCUUAACCUGGGAAGUGCAUCGCAAACGACUUGACUGGAGUAGGUGAGAGGGUGGCGGAAUUUCCGGUGUAGCGGUGAAAUGCGUAGAGAUCGGAAGGAACGUCAAUGGCGAAGGCAGCCACCUGGCACCAUACUGACGCUGAGGCGCGAGAGCGUGGGGAGCGAAC